UGUAGUGUGUGUUGGGUGGGAGCAGUUUGGGGAUUCUGUUUGUUAUUUUGGCUGGCUUGCCCCUGGAAAGAUGGCAUAUCCCUUUUGUAUUAUACAUCUGUGUAUGUUAGGUAUGUGUACAGUAUAUGGUUUGGUGGCUCUUUUGAAAAAAUGAGUUCUGUUAUUGCAACAUGUUCAUAAGAACAUAAGUGUUGCAGGUUUCUCUGAUGUUGAGGUCACAUUCUUAUGAUCUCUAUAAGGUGUGUUCACAUGCUUGAUAGAAGGUGUAAAUGCUCUGCAUAGUGACUUUAAUACUGAAUUUAUAUAACUCAAAUAUACCAAUCUGACUGCUUGUCAAUGCUAUUACUGAGCUAUGGAACCCUUUACAUUGCACUGAGAGCAUGUGAAGCACGUUUUCUUUUGACCUGUUGGUCAUAUUGUCUGUAUAAAGCUGUUUAAACUUCACUGGAUGGAAGUAUAUUAACUUUGUGUCUCAUUAACAGGAAGCUUGCUGUGACCAUAAUACUUGGAAAUGGUCUGAGAGAUAUGGCUGUGACUUGGAGGGGUUUCCAAUUCAAAGCUUGGGAAUUGAUUGUGGAAUCUUCAUGUUGAUGUCUGCUUUGUAUGUGGCAUUGGAAGCCACCUUUGACUACUCCAUAAUAAGUAGCUUUAAAAUAAAGUAAAAAUGUAAUCCUGUCAUCACACAAUAGAAAAUUUGCAAAUAAUACGAAUUUUCAUUUUUGAAAUGAUUCUUUUACAGAAUGCCGCAUACUGGCCCACUUUGUGAAAAUGGUGAUGUGUGUUGUUAAUGGAAAACUUUGAACUGGACUGGUGUCUAUUUUUUUCCUAUUUAAAAUUACCCUGAGGUUCGGGUGUUGUUACAAUAGUUAACACAACUUUUUUUUUCCAAGCUUG